GCCGGGAUAGCUCAGCUGGUAGAGCAACCGCCUUGUAAGCGGUAGGUCGUCGGUUCGAACCCGUCUCUCGGCU
rnacentral:tRNA from 1 species